rnacentral:rRNA from 1 species
UACGUAGGGGGCAAGCGUUGUCCGGAUUUAUUGGGCGUAAAGAGCGUGUAGGCGGCCAGGUAGGUCGGUUGUGAAAACUCGAGGCUCAACCUCGAGAUGUCGACCGAAACCAUCUGGCUAGAGUCCGGAAGAGGAGAAUGGAAUUCCCGGUGUAGCGGUGAAAUGCGCAGAUAUCGGGAAGAACACCCGUGGCGAAGGCGGUUCUCUGGGACGGUACUGACGCUGAGACGCGAAAGCGUGGGGAUCAAACAGG